AUUGAACGCUGGCGGCAUGCCUUACACAUGCAAGUCGAACGGUAACAGGUCUUUCGGGAUGCUGACGAGUGGCGAACGGGUGAGUAAUACAUCGGAACGUGCCUAGUAGUGGGGGAUAACUACUCGAAAGAGUGGCUAAUACCGCAUGACAUCUAAGGAUAAAAGCAGGGGACCUUCGGGCCUUGUGCUACUAGAGCGGCCGAUGGCAGAUUAGGUAGUUGGUGGGAUAAAAGCUUACCAAGCCAACGAUCUGUAGCUGGUCUGAGAGGACGAUCAGCCACACUGGGACUGAGACACGGCCCAGACUCCUACGGGAGGCAGCAGUGGGGAAUUUUGGACAAUGGGCGCAAGCCUGAUCCAGCAAUGCCGCGUGCAGGAUGAAGGCCUUCGGGUUGUAAACUGCUUUUGUACGGAACGAAAAGCUCUGGGCUAAUACCUCGGAGUCAUGACGGUACCGUAGGAAUAAGCACCGGCUAACUACGUGCCAGCAGCCGCAGUAACAC
rnacentral:rRNA from 1 species